AUUGAACGCUGGCGGCAUGCCUUACACAUGCAAGUCGAACGGCAGCACGGGAGCAAUCCUGGUGGCGAGUGGCGAACGGGUGAGUAAUAUAUCGGAACGUGCCCGGUCGUGGGGGAUAACGUAGCGAAAGCUACGCUAAUACCGCAUACGAUCUACGGAUGAAAGCGGGGGAUCGCAAGACCUCGCGCGAUUGGAGCGGCCGAUAUCGGAUUAGGUAGUUGGUGAGGUAAAGGCUCACCAAGCCGACGAUCUGUAGCUGGUCUGAGAGGACGACCAGCCACACUGGGACUGAGACACGGCCCAGACUCCUACGGGAGGCAGCAGUGGGGAAUUUUGGACAAUGGGCGCAAGCCUGAUCCAGCAAUGCCGCGUGCAGGAUGAAGGCCUCGGUUGGUAAC
rnacentral:rRNA from 1 species